AUUGAACGCUGGCGGCAGGCCUAACACAUGCAAGUCGAGCGGACGAGAGGAGCUUGCUCUUUGAUUCAGCGGCGGACGGGUGAGUAAUGCCUAGGAAUCUGCCUGGUAGUGGGGGACAACGUUUCGAAAGGAACGCUAAUACCGCAUACGUCCUACGGGAGAAAGUGGGGGAUCUUCGGACCUCACGCUAUCAGAUGAGCCUAGGUCGGAUUAGCUAGUUGGGGAGGUAAUGGCCCACCAAGGCGACGAUCCGUAAUUGGUCUGAGAGGAUGAUCAGUCACACUGGAACUGAGACACGGCCCAGACUCCAACGGGAGGCAGCAGUGGGGAAUAUUGGACAAGGGGCGCAAGCCUGAUCCAGCCAUGCCGCGUGUGUGAAGAAGGUCUUCGGAUUGUAAAGCACUUUAAGUUGGGAGGAAGGGCAGUAACUUAAUACGUUGCUGUUUUGACGUUACCGACAGAAUAAGCCCCGGCUAACUCCGUGCCAGCAGCCGCGGUAAUAC
rnacentral:rRNA from 1 species